GAGAGAGGGGGAACGACAUGCAGAAUCGAACCCGCGGCCGCUACGUCGAGGACCGAGCCUCCGUACAGGGGCGCCCGCUCCACCAGGGCAAAUUACAUCGACUGAGGAUGAUUGAAAGCUCCAGAACAACUACCAAAUGGACCUUGAGCACUCUGCAUCAGCUGGAGGCAUGACAACACCAUCUGUAUCAGAAACGCAGGAGAAGAACAGAAAUAACGCAUACAUGUUGUAAAGAGGCUUUACUCCAGAAGAUACGG